GAUAAUGUACCGUGGCCGGAACUUUAAUAACAUCAAUAAUCAAAAACCUUGAUACGAUCUGAUACGAUUAAACUAAUUCAGUUGGAUAACCUGCUUGUCAUUCUUGUUUGACAUUUGUGGCCUGUGUGUGAUUCGGCUGACCGGGAUAUCGACGCGCCACGUAGCGGAAAGAAUGUGAACCCUCCAGAGGGAGAUAGCUCUGACUCGUGCGUGGUGUUUAUUUUGUGUUUAAUGCUUUUUAGUGCUUUUUAGUUGUGUUUAAUAGUGUUUAGUUGUGUUUAAUAGUGUUUAGUUGUGUUUAGUGUUGUUUUUUAUUGUGCGAUUCAUUGUUGUUUAGAGUGUUUUAAGACAAUUUCCCUUUCGUUUCGUGUUGCUUGUGUUCUUUUGUACUUAUUAUUAGUUUGAGUUGUAAAUAUGUUGAUUUCGAUCAGUAACAUAAAGUCGCGAUCUUUUCUAUAGAACCACUCCCUAGUGUAAAUUUUCAAAAUUUGUUUGGUGUAAGUGACCUUGACGGGUUUCUGGGGGAAAACAUAUGUGUCAAAAAUUUGACAGAUGAACAGAACAUACAGUCUGCACGGGAUACAGUGCGGCAUAUUUGAGGGCAACCGAAACAUUCGUGUUGUGCUAGUUUCGAUUGCCAUAUCAACUACCGCUACCAACCGCGUUCGGCGUAAAGUACUAGAUGACAGGGCUAUCAACUUGACUUUUUAUCGAGUGGUUCCGUAGAAAUGACCGCUACUGUAUACAGUUACAUACAAGACAAUGCGUGUGUUGAUCGAAAAACGCGGCCCCUUGAACAAGGAGAAGCACUGUAUGUGGCUGGCUUAAUAGGCAAUUGCACUUUUGAGGGACAAAACAUCGAAGCACGGUGCAUAGCCUCAAAAAUUAGUGCAGCACCUCACGAAAUUCAAAUUCAAUUUGCAGAUUAUUCAGAUUACAGACAGUGGAACUGUGUCUGCAGCUGCAAAGCAGGAGCAGGAGGGAAAUGUAAGCACAUAGUUGCCACCCUACUGUAUGUUUACAAUGCUCAGAGUAUAGGCCUACUUAGUUGCACCGAUGUUCCCCAGGCAUGGGGCAAACGGAAGCGGGAAGAACUAGUAGAAGUUGUUCCUGUGGAACAAUUUUGCCAUGUUAAGUCAUCGGAGCAUUCCAAAUGUGAUAUGGCAGGAAUUAUUCCAGAAGAUUUCGUACAAAAGUGCUUUGAAGUUCUCCCGAAUUCUGGAGCUGCCAUGCUGUUCAAGGGGACUAUUAAUCCUGAAGAUAGGUCUAGGUUGUAUCAAAUAAUUGUUAUAAAUGGCAUCAUCAAGCCUUAGCAAUUGUUAAUGAUAUAAACACAUCUUUAUUUAAAAGUUUUUGCUGCUGCUGUUUUUUUUUCUUUUGCAGGGAUGAUCUCUUCAGUGCAAUUUGCGACAAUGCUUAUCGGAGCGAAUUGAGUGAGGUAAUAUACCAGGUUAAUCUAGAUGCUCCCUUACGGAGGUGUUGUGUAGCCACCUACAACAAAUUGUAUCCAUGCGACGGAUUUGAAAUUUGUAAAGACACAUUUAAAAGCAAAGCCACAUGGAUGCAAGAACGACAGUAUAGAAUAACCGGUUCAAGAUGUUACACCUUAUUUACAUACAGUCAGGGUGACUGGCAUACCAAAGCCGUGAAAUAUUUUUAUCCCAAAUCAUUUAAGGGAACCUAUGCCACAAGAUAUGGCAACAACCAAGAAGAUUUUGCCCGGCAAGCAUAUAUGACCAAUCUCCCAAGUGCCGAAACUGUAAUCCAGUGUGGGCUGAUUGUGUGCCAAAAGAAUCCAUGGUUGGCCUGUUCUCCUGAUGGCAUUGUGUUUCGGGAUAAACGACCAAUUCGUUUAUUAGAAAUUAAGUGUCCUGUUUUAGGUGCAAAAAAAACCAUUACUGAAUGUCUUCCAUCAUUGGAGUACAUGGAAUUUUCAGAGGGGGAAGGCUGGACAUUGAAGAGACGGCAUGGGUAUAUGGCCCAAAUACAAUUGUCCUUGGCAAUUUUAAAUUUACUAGGUUGCGAUUUCAUCAUUUAUUCAAGUUUUGACAGAUCUUUUUAUUUGCUAAAUAUAGAUCGGGACGAAAUAUUUUGCAAUGAUCUCUUGAAAAAAUUGAAAAGUGUUUUCUUUCAAAAUAUGUUGCAUGUAUUGUGUGAACCACUUUAAAAAAAAUAAUAAAAAACUUAUCAAAAAUCAAAA